CUAUCCCUGGUUGCUAGCAGGUAAUGCUGAGAACUCCAGGGAGACUGCCGGUGACAAACCGGAGGAAGGUGGGGAUGACGUCAGGUCAUCAUGGCCCUUACGGCCAGGGCUACACACGUGCUACAAUGGCGCGCACAGAGGGCUGCCAACUCGCGAGAGUGAGCCAAUCCCUUAAAACGCGUCGUAGUCCGGAUCGGAGUCUGCAACUCGACUCCGUGAAGUCGGAAUCGCUAGUAAUCGCGAAUCAGAAUGUCGCGGUGAA
rnacentral:rRNA from 1 species